rnacentral:rRNA from 1 species
UACGUAGGCAGCAAGCGUUGUUCGGAAUUACUGGGCGUAAAGAGUGUGUAGGCGGUGCUCUAAGUUUGGUGUGAAAUCUCCCGGCUCAACUGGGAGGGUGCAUCGAAAACUGGAGUGCUCGAGGGUGGGAGAGGUAAGCGGAAUUCCUGGUGUAGCGGUGAAAUGCGUAGAUAUCUGGAGGAACACCGGUGGCGAAGGCGGCGUUCUGGACUGCAACUGACACUGAAAAACGAAAGCCAGGGGAGCAAACGGG